AUCGAACGCUAGCGGGAUGCUUUACACAUGCAAGUCGAACGAGUGGCGGACGGGUGAGUAAUAUAUCGGAACGUGCCCAGUAGCGGGGGAUCACUACUCGAAAGAGUGGCUAAUACCGCCUACUAUUGGAGCGGGCGAUGUCGGAGUAGCUAGUUGGGGGGGUAAAGGCUCACCAAGGCAACGAUCCGUAGCUGGUCUGAGAGGACGACCGGCCACAAUGGGACUGAGACACGGCCCAGACUCCUACGGGAGGCAGCAGUGGGGAAUUUUGCGCAAUGGGGGAAAGCCUGAUGCAGCCACGCCGCGUGUAUGAGAAGGCCUUCGGGUUGUAAAGUACUUUUGGCAGAGAAGCGGUAUCUGCAGAAUAAGCACCGGCUAACUACGUGCCAGCAGCCGCGGUAAUAC
rnacentral:rRNA from 1 species